GAUUUAUUUUUAUUUAUAUAAUUAUUUAACCAAUUUUAGCCAAUGAGGUGCAACUGGGGAGGGAAAAGGCUGUGCGUGAUGCAGGCCUUCUUAGAGAAGGAGGAUUGUGAACCUGGAGUCUGGAGAAAACUGUGGCCUCAGGAGUUCAGCACAGCCCAAGAUCCUGCAAAACCAUCUGAACAAGAUCAAGACAGGUUUGGAGCUACAUGAGGUUCCAGGCUUUCUACUAAAAGCAGAAUCACUACCUAUCCUCUCAGCGAUCUCCGCAGCCCUCUCUCCCCAUAUGCCAUUGACAGCUAUGAGGACACUCUCUCCAGGCUCCAGCGAGUUAAAGAUGGCACACUCCAUAGCAGCAUGACCCGGUCCACUCACAGCCAGAGUCACGCGGUUUCGGGUCUGAAACGCAUACUGAAUGCCACUCUUAAUCUGAUUCAUAAUCUGAAAGAAAAUUGAGCAAACACUGAAUGAAUUUCAUUCAUAGAUUUUAAAUUUUGACAGGAUUAUAUUUAUUAAAAUCUCUGAUAAAC